rnacentral:lncRNA from 1 species
GUGUCAAACUGAAAAUGGAUCUACACUGCCAUAUAAUCUAGAUCAGAGUUUCUCAAACCGUGCUCCUCCAGAUAUUUUGGACUUCAGUGCCCACAAUUCCUAAUACUGGCUGGGACUUCUGGGAGUUGAAGUCCAAAACACCCGGGGGAGCACAGUUUGAGAAACCCUGAUCUAGAUUAUCAAAGCAGAUAUUCAAAUUAUCCACUUUGAACUAGAUUAUAUGAGUCUACACUGCCAUAUAAUCCUGGAUUUUAUAUGGCAGUGUAGAUGGGGCCUGAAUUAAUUCUGCAGUGUUCAUGCACCAUCCGUUUGUGUAAGUGGAACCAUCUAAAGCAAAGGUGUUACCAUCUCCACCACCCAUGUAGACAGUUUUGGAACUUGGAGGAGUUUGGAUCUUGGAAUUCCUAAUGAUCUACCUCAGAGGUUCUCAGUCUGGGGUCCCCAGAUGUUUUUGGCCUACAACUCCCAAAAAUCCUAACAGCUGGUAAACUGGCUGGGAUUUCUGGAGUUGUAGGCCAAAAACAUCUGGGCACCCCAGGUUGAGAACCACUGAUGUAGAUGCAAACAAAACAGUUUACCAGCUGUUGGGAUUUCUGGGAGUUGGAAGUCCCAAUCCUUUUUCUUGAUACAGGGCAGUGGUUCUCAACCUGUGGGUUUACCAGCUGUUGGGCUUACUGGGAGUUGAAAGUCAAAACAUUGGGAGACCUACAGGUUGAAAACCACUUAUAUAGGCACUCAUAGGAAACAUACAUACAAUUGCAGCCCUAAUCAUUUUAAAUAAUCUACAAUGCAAGGCUAAUAAAGCCAUUCAAAUGUGAAAAUAAAGGUUCUCAUUGUGAAUUACAAACCAGUGACUCUGGUUUACUUGUGUGUACUGGUGGUGCAGCGGGUUAUACCACUGAGCUACUGAACUAGCUCUGAAAGGUCGGUGGUUUGAAUUCGGGGAGCGGGGUGAGUUUCCGCUGUUAGCCCCAACUUCUGCCAACCUAGCAGUUCGAAAACAUGCAAAUGUGAGUAGAUCAAUAGGUACUGCUCCGGCGGGAAGGUAACGGCACUCCACAUGACCUUGGAGGUGUCUACGGACAACACCGGCUCUUCGGCUUAGAAAUAGAGAUGAGCACCAACCCUCAGAGUUGGACACAACUAAACUUAAUGUCAGGGGAAAACCUUUACCUUUACCUUACCAUUGACAGAGGGAGCCAGCACGGUGUAAUAGUGGUUUGAGCACUAGACUACAUUUCUUGAGAUCAGGGUUUGAAUCCCCAAUUGACCAUGGAAGUCCACCGGGUACUACGCUCUCUCAGCCUCAAAGGAAAGCAAAGAUAACCCCCCUCUGAUCAAAUCUUGCCCAGCAAACCCCAUGAUAGCUUCACUUUAGGCGUGACAUAAGUCAGAAACAGCUUGAAGGCAUACAACACCACCAACAAUUGGCAGAGAAGUGCAAUCAAUAUUAUGCUUUUAAACUUAAAGGAUGAAAUGGUCUUUAAUGACAGAAAUAGGAAGAAACGGGAAGA